AUUUAUGAUUAAUUUUAUAAUCCAGUCUGGUAGUUUUAAGAAGCGAGUUCUUGCAUCCGCCCUAUUCGAAUCGGCGGGGCGGUGGAGCGCCAGCGAGCCCAAGGUCUCCCAGGCGAGCAUGGCAGGACUGGAGGGCUCCCGGCAGGGCGCCUCGGCGUCCAUCGGGACCCCGACGGAGGUGCCGGAGAUCUUUCGGCUACAACGCCGGGCAGGUGGGGCUCGUUAGCCGUGGUAGGCAAUCUGCCUAGGAGAGCAAACUCCGAACAACAAACCCGGGCAGGUGAGGUUCGUUAGCCGUGGUAGGCAAUUCACCUAGGAGAGCAAACUCCGAACAAUAAACCCGGGCAGGUUGGGCUCGUGAGCCGUCAUAGGUAAUACACCUAGGAGAGCAAACUCCGAACAAUAAACCCGGGCAGGUGGAGCUCGUCAGCCGUGGUAGGCAGUCUGCCUAGGAGAGCAAACUCCGAACAAUAAACCCGGGCAGGUGGAGCUCGUCAGCCGUGGUAGGCAGUCUGCCUAGG